AAGACUUGUGCUCUGGUCCUCGGACUUCCCCAGCAACAUGGCCCCCAAACGCCAGUCUCCACUCCCGCCUCAAAAGAAGAAACCAAGACCACCUCAUGCUCAGGGACUGGAGGAGACAUCGGCCUCUGCAGGCUUGCUGAAGAAGGGAGAAAAAGAACAGCAAGAAACAAUUGAACACAUUGAUGAAGUACAAAAUGAGCUAGACAGACUUAAUGAAGAAGCCAGUGAGGAGAUUUUGAAAGUAGAACAGAAAUAUAACAAACUCCGCAAACCAUUUUUUCAGAAGAGGUCAGAAUUGAUCGCCAAAAUCCCAAAUUUUUGGGUAACAACAUUUGUCAACCAUCCACAAGUGUCUGCCCUGCUUGGGGAGGAGGACGAAGAGGCACUGCAUUAUUUGACCAGAGUUGGAGUGACAGAAUUUGAAGAUAUUAAAUCAGGUUACAGAAUAGAUUUUUAUUUUGAUGAAAAUCCUUACUUUGAAAAUUAAGUUCUCUCCAAAGAAUUUCAUCUGAAUGAGAGUGGUGAUCCAUCUUCAAAGUCACCGAAAUCAAAUGGAAAUCUGGAAAGGAUUUGACGAAACGUUCAAGUCAAACGCAGAAUAAAGCCAGCAGGAAGAGGCAGCAUGAGGAACCAGAGAGCUUCUUUACCUGGUUUACUGACCAUUCUGAUGCAGGUGCUGAUGAAUUAGGAGAGGUCAUCAAAGAUGAUAUUUGGCCAAACCCAUUACAAUACUACUUGGUUCCUGAUAUGGAUGAUGAAGAAGGAGAAGCAGAAGAAGAUGAUGAUCAUGAUGAAGAGGAAGAAGGAUUAGAAGAUAUUGAUGAAGAAAGGGAUGAGGAUGAAGGUGAAGAAGAUGAAGAUGAUGAUGAAGGGGAGGAAGGAGAGGAGAAUGAAGGUGAAGAUGACUAAUAGAACACUGAUGGAUUCCAACCUUCCCUUUUUUAAAUUUUCUCCAGUCCCUGGGAGCAAGUUGCAGUCUUUUUUUUUUUUCUUUUCCCUCUUGUGCUCAGUCACCCUGUUUUUG